rnacentral:rRNA from 1 species
UACGGAAGGCAGCAGUGGGGAAUAUUGCACAAUGGGCGCAAGCCUGAUGCAGCCAUGCCGCGUGUAUGAAGAAGGCCUUCGGGUUGUAAAGUACUUUCAGUCGUGAGGAAGGUGUUAAGGUUAAUAACCUUAGCAAUUGACGUUAGCGACAGAAGAAGCACCGGCUAACUCCGUGCCAGCAGCCGCGGUAAUACGGAGGGUGCGAGCGUUAAUCGGAAUUACUGGGCGUAAAGGGCACGCAGGCGGUUAAUUAAGUUGGAUGUGAAAUCCCCGGGCUUAACCUGGGAAUGGCAUUCAAGACUGGUUAGCUAGAGUCUUGGUAGAGGGGGUAGAAUUCCGAUGUGUAGCGGUGAAAUGCGUAGAGAUGUGGAGGAAUACCGGUGGCGAAGGCGGCCCCUGGGACAAAGGACUGACGCUCAUGUGCGAAAGCGUGGGGAGCGAAACAGGGAUUAGAUACC